GACGUAGGGCGCGAGCGUUGUCCGGAUUUAUUGGGCGUAAAGAGCUCGUAGGCGGCUUGUUGCGUCAGCUGUGAAAACCCGCAGCUCAACUGUGGGCUUGCAGCUGAUACGGGCAGGCUUGAGUUCGGUGAGGGGAGACUGGAAGUUCCUGGAUGUAGCGGUGAAAUGCGCAGAUAUCAGGAAGAACACCUAUGGCGAAGGCAGCUCUCGUGGGACGGUACUGACGCGAGACGCGAAAGCGUGGGAGCAAACAGG
rnacentral:rRNA from 1 species